rnacentral:rRNA from 1 species
UACGUAGGUGGCAAGCGUUAUCCGGAAUUAUUGGGCGUAAAGAGCGCGCAGGCGGUCGAUCAAGUCGAGUGUGAAAGCCCCCGGCUCAACUGGGGAGGGUCAUUCGAUACUGAUCGACUCGAAGGCAGGAGAGGGUAGUGGAAUUCCCGGUGUAGUGGUGAAAUGCGUAGAUAUCGGGAGGAACACCAGUGGCGAAGGCGACUACCUGGCCUGUUCUUGACGCUGAGGCGCGAAAGCUAGGGGAGCAAACGGG